AACAGGCUACGGCUUUUCUGUUGCAGUCUCCUUCCUGCAUAGGCUACUGGUCUUGUUAGAUGGAUAUGGAGGCUUUUUUUCUUCUACCUCAAGUGCCCUCUAGCGUGCAAUAUCUGUGCAGGUUGCUAUGUAGAAGGAGGUGAAAAGAAUACCCUGGAGUCUGGCUCAUUAAUGCAGCCCUGAAGUCUUCUUCAAAGCAAAUCUUGUAUGCUGCAGAUUUGGGGAGCGAAGAGUAUUGGAGAAUCAGAGGAAGACAAUAAUCUCCUACAGAAGAAGAGCAGAUGGCCAGAGAAGAGAUCCUUAUAUGAUCCCCACAGCUUGUUCACCCCUAUGAGGAAUCCAGAGACAUCUAGUCAAACGCUGAAGAUGGAAAACAAAUCAGAAGUACAUGAAUACAGUGGCUUUUCGCACAAUAUGGCACUAGAGCCUGGAAAGAUUACCAAG